UGGGCAACCUGCCCUGCACUCUGGGAUAACUUCGGGAAACCGGAGCUAAUACCGGAUAACAUCCUCCUCCGCAUGGUGGGGGGUUGAAAGUUCCGGCGGUGCAGGAUGGGCCCGCGGCCUAUCAGCUUGUUGGUGGGGUAGUGGCCUACCAAGGCGACGACGGGUAGCCGGCCUGAGAGGGCGAUCGGCCACACUGGGACUGAGACACGGCCCAGACUCCUACGGGAGGCA
rnacentral:rRNA from 1 species